GCCCUUCUUGCCCUCUCCCGUGGGUAGGAAGCUGUCUUGUUUUCAGCUCCAGCAGGCUGGCUGUGGCAUCGUCUGUUAGCCGUAUUGGGAGGACCAGCAUCAUUUGUAUUUGAAGUUGUUUCUUGGUCUCUUGGGUUACAUAUGUUAAAGGGAAUACAAAGGUCAUAGCUACAUUUGAAGCUACUGCUAAGGGGUCUUUGUUCCUACUCUACUUAUGUCGUGAGUCUGGGGCCGGUCUAGCACUACACUUUCUCCUCCUACUUCAAGCCUCGGCCAGCCUGUUUCUGUGUGUCGUCAGGGUACACGGGAACUCAGUGUUACGCUAUGUGCCUGGUGAGAAAGCCAGUGAAGGGGGUGGGGCUGGGGUCAAGAAGGGAAAACUGAAAGCACUGUUGAUUGACAGCUUUAAUUCCAAAGCUGCACAACUUUCCUGUGGUCCUGAGUCGUGGACUGAGAGUCUGCCAGAUGGCUGAGGCCAACCAGGACACUGCUGCUCUUCUGGAGAGGUGGCACCCAUCCUGCUCUCCAACGGAGACCCGAGUCACAAACUUGGAAAUAACCUGCCAGAGGAAGACAU
rnacentral:lncRNA from 1 species